rnacentral:rRNA from 1 species
CGUGGCGGUGCUACCAUGCAAGUCGAACGGAGAUAUGAUUUCGGUUAUAUCUUAGUGGCGAACGGGUGAGUAACGCGUGAGCAACCUGACCUUCAGAGGGGGAUAACACUUGGAAACAGGUGCUAAUACCGCAUAAGACCACGACCCGACAUCGGGACGAGGUCAAAGGAGUAAUCCGCUGAGGGAGGGGCUCGCGUCCCAUUAGAUAGAUGGCGGGGUAACGGCCCACCAUGUCGACGAUGGGUAGCCGAGCUGAGAGGCUGAUCGGCCACACUGGAACUGAGACACGGUCCAGACUCCUACGGGAGGCAGCAGUGGGGAAUAUUGGGCAAUGGGCGCAAGCCUGACCCAGCAACGCCGCGUGAGGGAAGAAGGCCUUCGGGUUGUAAACCUCUGUCCUUGGUGACGAAACAAAUGACGGUAGCCAAGGAGGAAGCCCCGGCUAACUACGUGCCAGCAGCCGCGGUAAUACGUAGGGGGCGAGCGUUGUCCGGAAUUACUGGGCGUAAAGGGUGCGUAGGUGGCCUUUUAAGUUGGAUGUGAAAUACCCGAGCUUAACUUGGGGGGUGCAUCUAAUACUGGGAGGCUAGAGUGCAGGAGAGGGAAGCGGAAUUCCUAGUGUAGCGGUGAAAUGCGUAGAUAUUAGGAGGAACACCAGUGGCGAAGGCGGCUUUCUGGACUGUAACUGACACUGAGGCACGAAAGCGUGGGGAGCAAACAGGAUUAGAUACCCUGGUAGUCCACGCGGUAAACGAUGAAUACUACGUGUAGGGGGUAUCAACUCCCCCUGUGCCGCAGCUAACGCAAUAAGUAUUCCGCC